AGCUCUGUCUGCCACUUCCAGGGAUGCAGCACUUCCCCUGAAGGAGGAGAGCAAGCUGAUGUGGCUGACUAGGAACUGCAGGACUGCUCACGUUUGUUAAGUCUUGGUUUCAGCAGAGCCUCACUCUGGCUGCUGGCUUUUGAACCUCUGAAGAUGCUGCUGUGCUUGGACUCGGCGUGACUCUCCUCUCAGAAGAAGAGUAGCAUUGCAGCAAGAGAAGAUGCAUCCUCAGGAAAUCACAAACCUCGCAGGACGUGUUAUUUUCCAUCAGCAGUAAGCAGCACUGCCUGUGUGCAGUUCUGGGAGAACAGAGCUGAAACAAGACAAGAAAAGCUGCAGAAGUAAAACUGCCUCUAAAGCUCCUUUUAAACGUGCAGCGCAGGAGUGGACACUCCUGUGUUGAUUAUGGUGAAACCUCUUGCUUCCUGUAAUGUUUGGCAUUCCUUAAUAUGUCCUGAUGGCUUUGAUUUCCUCUCCUCCCUUGCAGCAUCAAAGAGUAAGUGGGCUGAAUGUUAUCCAAUUGGUCAUUUGAAUACCAUCCUUUUCAACCUUCUUUUCCCCCUCCUUCCUGCCUCCCUGUCUUGGAUAAUGUUUUGCUUUCAGAUGCUGCACCAACA